rnacentral:rRNA from 1 species
UACAGUGGCGGUCCCGCCGCAGCUUCCAUCGCGUAGUAGCUAACACCUCGCGACUGGAGAGCGGCGCGGCCACGCCGUAAAACACCCAACUCUUCUGAAGUUGACCUCGAAUCAGGUAGGAAUACCCGCUGAACUUAAGCAUAUCAAUAAGCGGAGGAAAAGAAACCAACAGGGAUUGCCCCAGUAACGGCGAGUGAAGCGGCAACAGCUCAAAUUUGAAAUCUGGCUCUCGGGCCCGAGUUGUAAUUUGUAGAGGAUGCUUUUGGUGAGGUGCCUUCCGAGUUCCCUGGAACGGGACGCCAUAGAGGGUGAGAGCCCCGUCUGGUUGGACGCCGAACCUCUGUAAAGCUCCUUCGACGAGUCGAGUAGUUUGGGAAUGCUGCUCUAAAUGGGAGGUAUAUGUCUUCUAAAGCUAAAUACCGGCCAGAGACCGAUAGCGCACAAGUAGAGUGAUCGAAAGAUGAAAAGAACUUUGAAAAGAGAGUUAAACAGUACGUGAAAUUGUUGAAAGGGAAGCGCUUGUGACCAGACUUGGGCUUGGUUGAUCAUCCGGGGUUCUCCCCGGUGCACUCUUCCGGCCCAGGCCAGCAUCAGUUCGCCCUGGGGGACAAAGGCAUCGGGAACGUGGCUCUCUCCGGGGAGUGUUAUAGCCCGUUGCGUAAUACCCUGUGGCGGACUGA